UUUUUCGAAGUUAUAUUUUUCGAUGUUCUAUCAUCUGGAAUUACAAAUUAGUACUCAAAAAGAUUUCAUGUAACAUUUGCUCCUUCUCUAUUUAUUAACAUUCUCUGCUCUGGUAAUGUGAUAUAUUCCCCUACUGACAAACAGAUGACGCUAAAUCUGUGGCGCACAAAAUUUCGCAUGAUUCGAUUCAAAUUUCUUUAGUGACUAAAUUUACAAGCGUCAAACUUGUGUGACGAAAUCUUACUAAAUCAAAAAGAUUAGUGAGAUUAUCUACUCAACAACCUAAAUCAUGUGACUAAGUGUCGGUCGGAACAUGGUGUAAGAUUGAACACUAAAUUAUGGUGAUGUGUAAUUGGUAUAAAAGAAAAGUGCGAGCUCAGCAGUGGUAAGUGGAUUGGCAAAACAGCUGACUCCAAUGUUUUAUUUCCAUGAUGUUCUCAUUGAAAUAUCCAGCAUUGUAUACAUUUUAUUUCUACAUAUAUAAGUUUAGAUUUAUACAAUGAAAUCCAGUAAAUAGAAUCUAGCUGUUAUCAAAGCACACAACCUAGCAUAUUAAUCCUUGAAUGCUUCGAAAUAUUUGAAUGAAUACGUUGGUCUUAAUAGUAUUGCAUUCGUUAUAUAAUAUUAUUUCAGUCGUAAAAGUUCUUAUACAAAGUUGGUGUUUUUGCUAGCAUUUAACACAGUUAUAGAUAUUGUCGGUUUAAUAAAAUCUGGGGCAGUAUGUGUAGUAAAUUUAAGAAGGUUACGCAUUGCAUAUUUGAUAUGGACGGUUUAUUACUAGAUACGGAAAAAUUGUAUUCGCAAGCUACUCAGGAAAUUCUGGAUCCGUACGGUAAAACUUACACUUGGGACGUUAAAGUAAGUGUUAUAGGGUUGCAGACCCAGCAAGUUGCUGAAGCUAUAGUUGCUGCUUAUAAAUUACCUAUAAGCUGGGAAGAAUAUACACAAAGACAACGGGAGUGAACAGAAAUUUUAAUGACAGAAGCUGAAUUAAUGCCAGGCAAAUAAACAUUUCAUUGAAAAUGUGAUGGCCUUUCUUUAUACGCUCUGCAUGGAUAUAGCUCAUAAUACCGUGGAUUGGCGUCUACGUGAUCAAUGACUUAAGCGCCAAGAAACUUUUGAGGGUUUGAAAACCUAGUGCUCACUAGUCGUUAACUCACGUUGGAUUUACGGAUAUAAGUAGAUGCAACAGAUUUAUGCAACGAAGUACAAGGUAUUGGCGGAAAAAUUGCUCAUUAAUAAACAACCACUGGACUUUGAAAUUAUAUUUGUUCAAAUGAAUUAAUAGAUAUCGCUUUAAAUUUAAUUACGGAAAUGUGUGAAGAAAGAUUUACAGGAACAAAUUAAAGACAACAAAAUAUUUAAAUAA